rnacentral:rRNA from 1 species
UAAGCGGAGGAAAAGAAACUAACAAGGAUUCCCCUAGUAACUGCGAGUGAAGCGGGNAAAGCUCAAAUUUAAAAUCUGGUGGUCUUUGGCCAUCCGAGUUGUAAUUUAGAGAAGCGUCUUCCGCGCUGGACCGUGCACAAGUCUCCUGGAAUGGAGCGUCAUAGAGGGUGAGAAUCCCGUCUUUGGCAUGGAAUCCCAGGGCUUCUGUGAUGCGCUCUCGACGAGUCGAGUUGUUUGGGAAUGCAGCUCAAAAUGGGUGGUGAACUCCAUCUAAAGCUAAAUAUUGGCGAGAGACCGAUAGCGAACAAGUACCGUGAGGGAAAGAUGAAAAGCACUUUGGAAAGAGAGUGAAACAGUACGUGAAAUUGUUGAAAGGGAAACGCUUGAAGUCAGUCGCGUCGACCGAGACUCAGCCUUGCCUCGGCUUGGUGUACUUCUCGGCUGACGGGUCAGCAUCGAUUUCGAUCCUCGGAUAAUGGCAAGGGAAAGGUAGCACCUUUUUAGGUGUGUUAUAGUCCUCUGUCGCAUGCGAGGGUCGGGAUCGAGGAACUCAGCACGCACCUCAGGGUGUCGGGGCCUUGGCCCACGNUUACGUGCUUANGAUGCNGGCGNANUGGCUUUAA